AGGAUCCGAAUGGUGACUG
rnacentral:snRNA from 1 species